rnacentral:rRNA from 1 species
UACGGAGGGAGCUAGCGUUGUUCGGAAUUACUGGGCGUAAAGCGCACGUAGGCGGUUUGUCGCGUCGAAUGUGAAAACCCGGGGCUCAACCCCGGGCCUGCAUUCGAUACGGGCAGACUAGAGUUCGGUAGGGGAGUCUGGAAUUCCUGGUGUAGCGGUGAAAUGCGCAGAUAUCAGGAGGAACACCGGUGGCGAAGGCGGGACUCUGGGCCGAUACUGACGCUGAGGAGCGAAAGCGUGGGGAGCAAACAGG